rnacentral:lncRNA from 1 species
AUAGGGACACUUUUCGGCCAGCGAUGCAUCGAAUCAUGAAGUGAGGAAGAGCUUGGCAAACUCACUCCAUCUCAUUUCUUCCUCGAUUGUCCUCCUUUCAUUGAUUGUGGCUUUCAAUUAUGGCGCUUCACAGUAUGAACCAGAUUGCUGGAGGUGGAGAGAUACGUGACAACAUUUCUCAGUGCAAUGCAUCGAUGCUGAUAAGAGAUUACCAUCCUGAGAUGUGACUUGAGUCAUCGACCAGAGCCUUCAAGUGCGGCUCUUGACAGCUGUGAGCAGAGUGAGAGGAGAGGAGAAGAGCACAGCGAGCGAAGUGAGUUCUGAGCGGUUGCAUGGAGGAGGAUUGUCAUUUGGUUGCUGUUGCUAGAGUGAGAGAUGAGAUGGAGCGGACGCUGCAUUAUCAGGAGAUGGAGGAGAGAGAGAGACAGACGGCCUGCUCAAACGGAACAGUGGGAAGAAGAAAGAUAGAAGACACAGCAAAGAAGAUACAUUUUUACAAAAUAGUGGGACUCUAGUGUAAGAGUUUAUAUAAAGUGAAAACUAUAAACAUUGACAUUGAAAAGUUCAUAACAGUGAAUUAUUGACGUGAAGUGAUAAUGAAAAGACUCGAAUUUACUUCCAUUUUCAAAAGACGUUGAAUUGAUUUAUAUUUUGUUUGUGAUGUUGUUGAUAUUGUGCAUGUUUUGCUGUAAAUAAUAAAUGCCUGUGGGGUGGGUGUCCCAUGUGUGGGGUAUUUUCAGGCAUCGCGGAGGCAGCUGGACGGACGGAUUACGCAGAACUUCAAUCAAGGUAAAAGUCAGCACUCGACUGAUUGUAACAGUUCAAUCUAGUUAUUUUUCUAAAUUCUUAUUUCUUAAAGUUUUAUUUUGAAUUCAAUUUUUUCCAGAUCUGAAUCAUUUUCUCCUAUUUCAGUGAGUUAAUAAUAUCAUUAAUUCACUAAAAUAGGAGAAAAAUGAUCAAUCCUAAUCUAUUUAAAUACGAAAUUUUAUUCCUUUCUUCAAUUAUUGGUGAUAUUAAUGUCUUGUUGAACUGUUAGAUCGGUCCUGGGCGACUUGUGUGGAAUUGGUAAUAGCAUGUCUCGACCAUCACCCCCUAAGUCUUUUCUCAGCUUUUAUACUUUUGAAUUUGUUUUUAUUUUCAGUUGCUUCGACAUUUUUCUUUAGUUGUUUCCUUUUAUUUUUUUUUUUGAAUUUCUUCCUGCUUUUUAUUUGUUUCAGUUUCUUAUUUUCUGUUGCUUUGGAGGCGAACCUUCAGUUCAAAUUCAAUAUCGAAGUAUAUGUCGAUAAGGGAUGUUUUUUUAGUUUGUUUCUUUUGAUUUCUUCAAAACUGUCCCCAAUUUUAUUUUAGUUUUUUAUAUUCAGUUUGGGAUUUUUCUUCAGUUGUUUUUUUUCAUUUCUUUUAAACUAUCUCCAUCUACUUAGAAUUUUUUAUAUUUAUUGUAAUAAAUAUAUUUAAAUUAGAUUGUAAAUUUCUGGGGUGCUGCCACACUGUUUGCUUUUUUCAGGAGGAAAUCGUCGUCAUCAUUUAUUUGCUUAUUGUUUUUGUCUUUGCUGUGUGUUGUUGCAUCUCUCAAAAUAUUGUUAGUGAACUAUUUUCAAUUAUUUCUAUUGUAAUACGUUUAUACAUUGUAAAGUGUAAUUUGUAUGUACUCCCUUCCUUCUCAUUGCACCGUCCAUUCAUAUUUCUAACUUCAAUUCACUUUAUUUUUUUUCAAUUUCAUUUCCAACUUUUUUCUUGGCUUCCCGAUGGUUCAACCCCCACCUUAACCUGUAGGUCCACUCAUCUCUCAUCAUUAUCCAUUCUAUUACCCACGCACAAGCCUAGAGCUCAUGUGGGCAUUAUCCACCAUCCAAUUCAUUUCUUUCAAAAACUGUCAUUUUAAAUUCCUCAAUAAUUGUUUUACUAUUUCUGACCACCUUUCCUCUAAACUUAUCUUUCCCGCACUAUAAAUGCUUUACUCUCAAAUUGUAAACCCCUAAAUCUGAAUUAAUAUCAAAAUUAAGUUCUCAAUCUUCAGUGUAACCUGAAUCUUUGACUAUUUGAAGAGCCUUCUCUGCUAAGAAUAAUUUUAAUCUCACUUAAUAAUAAUUAAAAUCCCACUCAAUAAUAUAAUAAUCUUGAAUCACUUGAAGCUUUAGAUCCACUUACCUCCCAUUAUCAUUCUUCCUAUUUCACCCACGCACAAGCCUGUAACUUAUGUAGGAAUCAUAUUCUGUUGAAAAAUCUAUUUUAAAAUCAUUUUAAAUCUAAAUUUCAAUUCAUUUUGAAAUGUUAAUUUACAUUUCUUUCACCUACCACAUUGUCAUUAAUUUUACUCCCAUUUUAGUAAUCACUUGCAAUCAAUCAUUAGUUUCUUUACCUUAUUUCACAUUCACCAAUAUUCCCAAGUUUAUACCUCUAGUUACUGCUUUGUCGGCUCUUUAUUAUCAAUCUCUCUGUCUCAUUCUAUUAUUGUUUGUCUCACCACCAUUCCUUACUAAUUUUACUUGUCUCCCCCCCACCUUACCUAUUAAUCCUUAGACUGGGCGCACACCAGUUAGUCAAGACAAGACAUGAUGAGACACGAUCAGUCACAACACUUCACAUUGUUGCUUAUGGAGUCAUGUCUAAUUGCAAUGACUAAUCAGUGUGAGUUGCAUCAUAAGCAACUAUGUGAAGUAUUGUGUCUGAACAUGUCUUGUCUUGACUAAUCGGUGUAAUCCCAGCCUUACUGACCUUAACUCGCAUUCCUUAGUCACUCCACUUGCCUCCCCCCCCUGCUAUCUACAUAAAAUUAUUCUUCCCCUUCCUGUCAUCCAAAUGGAUUUAUUUCAGUUGUAGUUAACUUUUUCUUCUCUCAUAUUGUCUUGUAUCUCACUUCUUGUUCACUUUCUAAUUUACAUAAUAUGCGUUCAAGGGAUUCUUAAUUGGAAUAAAGGGGGUUAAUGAUUAUUUUUCUACAAUUUGCAAUAUUGUGACAGAUGCAACAGCACUAGUGUGGUAGCACUCUUAGCUUAUAUUAUAUUGUCCCCCCCUCUCUCAUGGUCUAGACAUGCACUUACCAAUACCAUUGAUUUAUUCCUCUUCUGGAGGGGAACCACUCUUUUUUGCCCCCUCAGGGGAACUGUCCCUUUCCCUUUUGGGGGGGGGGAGGGAAAGCCCCCUGUGGGGGAUUUGUCCCUCUCCCUUCUGGGGAGGGAAAACUGUCACUUGGUUGGCUCUGAGUGGUCCAGUUAGGCUCAAUGCGCCCUUUGGCGUGGGUGGGACCACUCACUACAUUGGGUGGGGGGGGCAGGACCACAUGGAGCCAGGUGCCAGUAUUGGACGUUGAGGUUAGUGCCCGGUUUUUUUGUGGGCCUAUCCGACAGUGAACGUUUCACUGUAAACCUGAAUCUUGAGAACGAGGACAAGAAGGGAAUAAAAAAAAAUUGGAAUUUUUUUUGCUUUGUAUAUGGUUGGUAAAGGGUAUGUAUAUACUAGAAUAAAAACAAUGUGUGUGUGUAUAUAUAUGUAUAAAUAAUCAAUAAAUACAUAAAAAUCUCACAUGUGUAUUGCUAUCCUUACUAUCCUAUCCUAGACUACUAGAGAAGAAAAAGAAAGAACGCCAAAUUUGGCAUUCCCAGCUAUACAGGAUGAGUUAUGCGGCUUCAAACAUGAAAUUUGCAAAUUUUCAAACGGCCAUAUCUAAUGAACGGUAAGGAAUUUCGCCAAUGUGAUGACAUUAUAUUGUUUCUCUCGUCAAAUAUUAUAUCAUUGCUGAGAGUUUUAGCGAUUUUAAUUAAUUUUUGGAUUCAUGAAAAAUGAAUCCGUUACCUGUUGCUUUUUUCUGCUGUGCUGUUCUAAUUCUCAUCCAAUACAAAUGAGCUCAGUAGUCACAAAAAUCCUGAGAAAUUUGAAUUUCCCGCUCAAAUCAGUCAGUACCUCUUGCAUGUUUCUGUUGCCCUGGUAGUAUUUUAGUUGGUUUUAAUUCUGUACCAGGGAGUCAGAACACUUGAAGAGGUAGCAGGUUUUUCAACGCCUUCCAAUGCAAGCAUAGGCAACCCGCAACACUGAUCUACUUUGUGUACCUCUUGCAUGUUUCUGAUGCCCUGGUAGAAAUCUGGUCAUUUCUAAGAUGCAAAUGAGCUACUAUUUGAGCGGGAAAUUCAAAUUUCUCAUGAUUAGCGGGAAAUUCAAAUUUCUCAUAAUUUAUACUAUUUGAGCGGGAAAUUCAAAUGUCUCAUGAUUAGCGGGAAAUUCAAAUUUCUCAUGAUUUAUACUAUUUGAGCGGGAAAUUCAAAUUUCUCAUGAUUUAUGUUACUACUGAGCUCAUUUGUAUUAUAGAAUUGUAACAGGAAGUUAAAACAUAGCAAGUGGUAACUGAGACAUUAUACCGAUUAUUGCUUACACACAUUAAAUACUAUAUGUGUUUAGUUCAGUUGAUAAUGUGUUUUUUUAUUUUCAAUUUCAUCAAAUGUAAGACUAAUUUGGUACCAAAAUCAAACAAAUCCGACCAUCCUUUCGGAGUUUCCAAGAUAAUUUACAUCAUUUACACAUUGGGGUGUCCAGGACCACAUGGAGCCGGGUGCCAGUAUUGGACGUUGAGGCUAGUGCCCGGUUUUUUUUUGUGGGCCUAUCCGACAGUGAACGUUUCACUGUAAACCUGAAUCUAGGACAAGGAGGGAAAAU